rnacentral:rRNA from 1 species
AUUGAACGCUGGCGGCAUGCCUUACACAUGCAAGUCGAACGGCAGCGGACCUUCGGGUGCCGGCGAGUGGCGAACGGGUGAGUAAUGCAUCGGAACGUACCUUUCAGUGGGGGAUAACGUAGCGAAAGUUACGCCAAUACCGCAUAUUCUGUGAGCAGGAAAGCAGGGGAUCGCAAGACCUUGCGCUGGUUGAGCGGCCGAUGUCAGAUUAGCUAGUUGGUGAGGUAAAGGCUCACCAAGGCGACGAUCUGUAGCGGGUCUGAGAGGAUGAUCCGCCACACUGGAACUGAGACACGGUCCAGACUCCUACGGGAGGCAGCAGUGGGGAAUUUUGGACAAUGGGGGCAACCCUGAUCCAGCCAUGCCGCGUGAGUGAAGAAGGCCUUCGGGUUGUAAAGCUCUUUCGGCCGGGAAGAAAUCGCACGGGCUAAUACCCUGUGUGGAUGACGGUACCGGAAUAAGAAGCACCGGCUAACUACGUGCCAGCCGCCGCGGUAA